rnacentral:rRNA from 1 species
CCUACGGGGGACAGCAGUGGGGAAUAUUGCGCAAUGGGCGAAAGCCUGACGCAGCGACGCCGCGUGCGGGAUGAAGGUCUUCGGAUCGUAAACCUCUGUCAGCAGGGAAGAACGGUCACUGUGCUAAUCAGCAGUGAAUUGACGGUACCUGCAAAGGAAGCACCGGCUAACUCCGUGCCAGCAGCCGCGGUAAUACGGAGGGUGCGAGCGUUAAUCGGAAUUAAUGGGCGUAAAGCGGUCGUAGGCGGUAUGUCAAGUCUAGGGUGAAAUCCCCGCGCUCAACGUGGGGACUGCCUUUGAAACUGGUAAACUAGAGUGAGUGAGAGGAUAGUGGAAUUCCAGGUGUAGGAGUGAAAUGCGUAGAUAUCUGGAAGAACAUCAGUGGCGAAGGCGACUAACUGGCACUUAACUGACGCUGAGGAGCGAAAGCGUGGGUAGCAAACAGGAUUAGAUACCCUAGUAGUC